rnacentral:rRNA from 1 species
AGUGAACGCUGGCGGUAGGCCUAACACAUGCAAGUCGAACGGCAGCACAGUAAGAGCUUGCUCUUACGGGUGGCGAGUGGCGGACGGGUGAGGAAUACAUCGGAAUCUACUUUUUCGUGGGGGAUAACGUAGGGAAACUUACGCUAAUACCGCAUACGACCUACGGGUGAAAGCAGGGGAUCUUCGGACCUUGCGCGAUUGAAUGAGCCGAUGUCGGAUUAGCUAGUUGGCGGGGUAAAGGCCCACCAAGGCGACGAUCCGUAGCUGGUCUGAGAGGAUGAUCAGCCACACUGGAACUGAGACACGGUCCAGACUCCUACGGGAGGCAGCAGUGGGGAAUAUUGGGCAAUGGGCGCAAGCCUGAUCCAGCCAUACCGCGUGGGUGAAGAAGGCCUUCGGGUUUUAAAGCCCUUUUGUUGGGAAAGAAAAGCAGCAGGUUAAUACCCCGCUGUUCUGACGGUACCCAAAGAAUAAGCACCGGCUAACUUCGUG